GCCGCUGCAAUAGCUCAGUGGGUAAAGCGCCAGGUGAGUAGAUGUCGAUUACUCCGAGAGCUAUUAUCCCCGCGGGUUCGAAUCCCGCCUGUGGCA
rnacentral:tRNA from 1 species